AUCCUGUGGUGAGGAAAUGCUAGGAUGUACUCUUGAAGCCUCUUCCAUGCUUCAAAAACUAACUCAUUUGACAUCUACUGGAAGCUGGAGAUUCUCCCACGGAGAGC